AGCGAACGCUGGCGGCAGGCCUAACACAUGCAAGUCGAACGAACUCUUCGGAGUUAGUGGCGGACGGGUGAGUAACACGUGGGAACGUGCCUUUUGGUUCGGAAUAACUCAGGGAAACUUGUGCUAAUACCGAAUGUGCCCUUCGGGGGAAAGAUUUAUCGCCAUUAGAGCGGCCCGCGUCUGAUUAGCUAGUUGGUGAGGUAACGGCUCACCAGGGCGACGAUCAGUAGCUGGUCUGAGAGGAUGACCAGCCACACUGGGACUGAGACACGGCCCAGACUCCUACGGGAGGCAGCAGUGGGGAAUCUUGCGCAAUGGGCGAAAGCCUGACGCAGCCAUGCCGCGUGAAUGAUGAAGGCCUUAGGAUUGUAAAAUUCUUUCACCGGGGACGAUAAUGACGGUACCCGGAGAAGAAGCCCCGGCUAACUUCGUG
rnacentral:rRNA from 1 species